UUUGAAGAGAGAGUUAAAGAGGACGUGAAACCGAUGAGGUGGAAACGGAUAGAGCCAGCGUAUCUGGCCUGCAUUCAACCGUCUCGUGGACAGCGCUCGUGCGGCUGGCGACCCCAGAUUGGGACAGUACGUGCAGGGCUCGGCUGACUAUGGGUGGUGCAUUUGCAGGCUGUGUGCGCCGAGACGCUUGGCGCAGCAGUGUGAAUUCGGUUUUGAGGCCAGCUUGCUGGUACCCGAACUUGGGGGAAUGCUGUUUGCUCUGAGUGUAAUUGAUGGUCAUGGCUUACCGGCUUAGUUGGGUGUCAGGCUGUUUGCCGGUAGCGGUCACAUGUGACACGUGCUGUGUAGGCGGUUUGGUCUCUGACAAGCCACCAUGUUCAUUCUCGGUGUAAGAGCUGGUCAUCUCUCCGACCCGUCUUGAAACACGGACCAAGGAGUUUAUCGUGUGCGCAAGUCAUUGGGCGUUGAAAACCCAGAGGCGCAAUGAAAGUGAAUGUCUCCGCAAGGAGCUGAUGUGCGAUCCUGGUUUCUUCGGAGGCCAGGCGCAGCAUGGCCCCAUCCUAACUGCUUGCAGUGGGGUGGAGGAAGAGCGUACGCGGUGAGACCCGAAAGAUGGUGAACUAUUCCUGAGCAGGAUGAAGCCAGAGGAAACUCUGGUGGAAGUCCGAAGCGAUUCUGACGUGCAAAUCGAUCGUCUGACUUGGGUAUAGGGGCGAAAGACUAAUCGAACCAUCUAGUAGCUGGUUCCUUUCCGA
rnacentral:rRNA from 1 species